AGAGUUUGAUCCUGGCUCAGGACGAACGCUGGCGGCGUGCCUAAUACAUGCAAGUCGAGCGGACUUUCAAGAAGCUUGCUUUUUGAAAGUUAGCGGCGGACGGGUGAGUAACACGUGGGCAACCUGCCUGCAAGACGGGGAUAACUCCGGGAAACCGGGGCUAAUACCGGAUAAUAUCUUCCUUCGCAUGAAGGAAGGUUGAAAGGCGGCGCAAGCUGCCGCUUGCAGAUGGGCCCGCGGCGCAUUAGCUAGUUGGUGAGGUAACGGCUCACCAAGGCGACGAUGCGUAGCCGACCUGAGAGGGUGAUCGGCCACACUGGGACUGAGACACGGCCCAGACUCCUACGGGAGGCAGCAGUAGGGAAUCUUCCGCAAUGGACGAAAGUCUGACGGAGCAACGCCGCGUGAGCGAAGAAGGUCUUCGGAUCGUAAAGCUCUGUUGUCAGGGAAGAACAAGUACCGUUCGA
rnacentral:rRNA from 1 species